UGCUGCACAGGUGCCCUAUUCCCCCGGCGGGCGUGUGCUGCUGCUCUAACCAGUGCGCUAGCUCGUGCGCUAUUAUCAGAAAGUAUCUAAGCUUUCAAUUCCGGAAAGCUGGCUUGUACUAGGAAAGCGAAGCCAAAGUAGAAAACGUGCAUCCCUUGUUUCCCCCAGAAAGGUGAACAACUCCCCACACGUAAUGCCCACCUGUACGCACGUGACUGGGAGAGACUGAGGGUUUCCUUGAGAGGAGAUGGAAGCAACCAUGUAGAAAGGGGAGAACCCCAUUUUUUCUGCAGCAUAUAUCACUGUUUGCGUUUUCUGAUGUAAUAGUAGCCAGGAUUCUGGCUGCCGCUUGAAGUCCUGUUUGAUUUUUCUCCCGAGGCAAUUCUGCGCUCACGUUCCGUUUCCUGUUAGAGCUCUCACUGCCUUGCAUCCUUCACCCUGGGGAGGCGCCCAGGCUGUAGCGGGGCUCUACAAAUGUGGAGCAGAUGGAGGAGCAGCCAUGCCGGCAAGAGCUAUCGCCUGACAAAGCGGGGCUUCAGGAUCGGAGAAACCGCGGCACGGAUGAACCCACUGCGGUGGGAAAGGUGAUCUCAAAUUACACCAUAAAGGUAACCAGCUGCAGAAGCAGAAGGCAACCCCACACCCUGAGGAGUGUAUUACCUGAAAAGCCAGAUAGUACCUGGCUCUCUCCCAGACAGCAUUGCUCAUCAUGGACGGUUCAAGCCAAAUUAUCCAUUAUUGUUCCCCAAGUUUACAAUUAA
rnacentral:lncRNA from 1 species